AGAACGAACGCUGGCGGCGUGGAUAAGACAUGCAAGUCGAGCGCUGAUCACGGGGUAGCAAUAUUCCGUGGUCGGAGCGGCGCAAGGGUGCGUAACACGUGGGUAAUCUGCCAUGAAGUUCGGGAUAACUUGCUGAAAGGCGAGCUAAUACCGGAUGUGACAACUAGAAGACAUCUUUUGGUUGUUAAAGUUGGGGACCGUAAGGCCUGACGCUUCUUGAUGAACCCGCGGCCUAUCAGCUAGUUGGUGAGGUAACGGCCCACCAAGGCUAAGACGGGUAGCUGGUCUGAGAGGACGACCAGCCACACUGGAACUGAGACACGGUCCAGACACCUACGGGUGGCAGCAGUCGAGAAUUUUUCACAAUGGGCGCAAGCCUGAUGGAGCGACGCCGCGUGGGGGAUGAAUGGCUUCGGCCCGUAAACCCCUGUCAUUUGCGAUCAACCUUAUUAUUUAAAGAUGAUGAGCUGAUAGUAGACGAAAGGAGGAAGGGACGGACUUAACG
rnacentral:rRNA from 1 species